UGUACCUCAUUGCAUCCCUUGCGACACACGUGGGUCGGCGCAUCGCACAGCUCGCCCACCCCCCCAAUCCCCUCUCCCCUCCUCGCCUCCUCUCGCGUUGUUGUUCCUGUAGCCCUAUACGGACCGAAAGCACCCGUGCGUGCGUGUGUGCGUGUGUGUGCUCGGAUCUGAAUGCGCCCUGGUGAGGCAGUCGCUGCCUUUUCCAAGGACCCGGCGGGCGGAUCGCGAGCGCCGCCCAGCCCAGAGCAGGACACUCUACAGCCCUUCCUCGGCGGCAGUGCCAACGCUACAAGCCCCCAAACCGGCAGCCUUGACGUGAACCUGUUCAGUAACUCGGCUGCCGCCAAGAUGCUUCCUGCGGACGACGAGCUGGCCGCUAGCGAAGGCAGCAGUCAUCGCCAGAGGCAGCCGCAGUGCCGCAGCGGCAUUGAAGGCGACAGCACAAGCAGUAGCCGUAACGACGCCGGGAAUUCGGUGAACAGCGGUAGCCGCAGCAGCAGCGGUGGUGGCGACCGUGGCGCCACUGCAAGGGGCCCAUUCGUCGACAUGGAGGGAAGCAGCGGCGAGGCGAACGUCCCGAUCGGCCGCACGCUGAGCGAUGACGGUCAGCCGCAGAAUGCGCGGCCGAGGUCGGAGGACCCGCCGGCGAUGGCCUCUCUGCUGAGCCGUCACUGUCUAGACGAUGCCGUUGCUGUAGACACUGUCGAAGGCGGCGACAGCACUGAUAACGUCGACGAUGUGCGGCCAGGAUCGCCUUUUCUGCACCGCCGCAACCGCCUGCGCGGGCCCCCUAACGCAACCGUUAUGGCACCGGAUGCAGCAAGCCGUCGAGCAGCUGGCAGUCGGCGUAGCUCAAAAGUGGACCUGCUGGAGGCGCAGGAGGAUCCGCCGAUGUUGUCGUCUCGCCAGCGACUCCUGCGCCCCGUGUCGAGCGACAGCAUCGUCUUCAGCAUCGUCUCCUCAAACAGCUCUGGUGACGAGCUGGACGGUCAAGGGUCGGAGGCGGCACGGGCGCGGCUGCACGCUGGCGACGGCGAUGACGUGUCGUCACUGCUGCCGAGCACGUCGGCACUGUCGGGGCCCGCAUCGAGCAAUGCCCUCCUCUGCCCACGCACCGUGUACGACGCCGAUGAAAAUGGCAGCGGAACUGGCAAAGACGGCGUCGAGAGCGGAGCAGACUCGAUGCACUCGUCCCCGGUGGCUGUCACGCUCUGGGGCGUCGACCGCGACCUCCGCCGCAAGCGCAUCAAGAAAGUCAGCCACUACAUCCUCGGUCCGCUGCUCGGAGAGGGCAGCUACGGCGUCGUGCGCGACUGCAUCGACCUUAACACAGACAACGCCGACCGGCGCUUCUCGCGGUGCGCCAUCAAAAUAAUCAAUGGGAACUACGCCAAGCUCGACACGUCAGCAGCAAAACCGAGCAAGGCGUCGUCGACGUCGGCUGCCGCGACCGAGGACGGCACUGACGGCGGUGCUCGAGCAGGCACCAGAGGCACACUGAAGCGCACGUCUGGCAUUCAGUACCGCCGUGAGGAGGACUUGAAGCGGCAGGAAACCUUUCAGCGGGAGAUGCGCAACCUGCAGCGCUUCCACAGCAAGAACAUUAUUCGCGCUCUCGACGCCUUCACGCGCUACAGCAAGGAGUACGUCGUGAUGCCAAUCGCCAUUUGUAGCUUGCGGCAACUGGUGCAGCAGAUGCUGCGCACGCGGUGGCGCGAGGCGGUGCGGGAGUGGCGGCGAGCGCAGCGUCGGCUGCAGCGGAAGCAGCGGCACAAGCGAGGCCAUUUCGCGACCUCGGUCAGCGGAGAUCAGACACAGACCCCGUCGCAGCCGUCGCCAUGGCUUCCCAUGGUGCCAUCUGCGGUGGAGGAGUUGGAUAUGGAUGAGCUUGCCUUUAUGACAGACGGCGAGCGCGAUAGCGGCGACGAUACUGAUGGCAUCUCCGCGAGCCAGCCGCACAGCAGCAGCGAUGGUGACGACGGCGUGGCUGCUGAGCGGGACAGUGAAGCGAGCAUGGUCGACCACGAUGAAGAGUCGCAGCGGCAGCAUUCUGCAACCAGCAGCGUCACCGCGACAGCAGUAGGAGGUCGAGUCGCGGCCGCGGCGGCUGCAGUUUCGGAAAGGGGUCCUUCUGGGCAAUCUCGCCUUCCACCACGUGUCGCCUUCAACGGCGCCUCCAGCACCGCCACCACAACGCACAUCAUCGACCGCUAUACGAGCCACUCCAACGGAUCGCCCCCUUCCCAGUCGCCCCGGCAGAGAUCAGGGGAACACUUCCCGACCUUCGCCGGGGGCCACCACCAUGGAGGCGGUAACGGAAGCUGGGGAGACGACGUCAGUGACGGCAGCUCCGCGAGCACGACAGGGGCGCAUAACGGCAUCACAGUCAUGAGCGCGACACCGCCGGCGCUGUCGACCGCCGAGCUCCCGAUGGAGUGCGACGACCUCGUCGGCAGCGGCGCCAACGGCGCUGACGGACGGCCACCCGCCACCGUGUCACCGGCACCGGCACCGGCAGCCUCCACACAGCACAUCCGGCCACACAUGUCGCUUCCCGUGUGCUCGCCAACGCUGCUGAAGGGCAUCUUCUACCAGCUCAUGUCCGGCGUUGCCUACCUGCAUCAGCAGCACCUGGCGCACAACGACAUCAAGCCGUCGAACGUGCUUCUCUUCGAGGACGGCACCGUGAAGCUGGCCGACCUCGGCAGCGUCAGCGACACGUACAACGAUCAAGGCUCCCCUCUCUGUGCUUCACCGGAGCUGUGCAAGUACUUCUACGGCGCCGCGACGCCGCCGGCGUCCUUCUCGCAGUCGGCGCAGCACGUCGGGCGGGACGCGGCGCAGUCCAGCGACAUGUGGUGUUGCGGGCUGAUGCUCUAUUAUCUCAUCACCGGAAAACCCGGCCCGCUGCCGGUGCACCUGCGAUACUUCCGUGCAUUGAACAGCAAGCAGGCGCACCAGCCGUUUCGGCCCUUCGCAUCGCACGGCGACAGCGGCCGAGCUGCCCUGCCCCCCGUCGUGACCCGCUACCAGCUUUACCGCGAGAUUGCGCAGCAGACAACGCCGGUGGACCUCGGUGGCCUGCCCGAUAUGGUAGCACCGGACGUGGGCAACGACGUGCUGCUCUCUAGCUCACCGAUGUUGGCCAAAGGUGAGGCCCCACACGGUGACUCUGUGGACGAUGCGGCCACGUCGUCGUACCCGCCCAACGGCGUGCGACAUCUCCUGGCAGGGCUCCUCGAGCUGGACCCGCUGCGUCGCCUCACCGCCGAGCAGGCGCUACGCCACCCGUGGCUACGUAUGGCCUUCCGCUCCAAGACGAGUGAAACGAGUAGCAGCAACACAAUCAGCCAGACCAGCGCACCGAAUAGCAACGGCGGGCAGCAGGAUGAUGCACAGAAUCAGCAGCAGCAGCUCAAGGCGCCGUCGAAGCAGGCCAUGGAAGAGGCCAUUCAACGUGAUGUGGCACGUCGCGUGAUGGAGUCGCGGCACGUGCAGCACAUGCUGCGCCUGGAUCGGCAGCGGCACCUUCAGUUCGUCGCAGACUGCUGCAACAUGCUGAACCUGGCAAUACCUCCAGAGAUCAUCAAGGUGCACCCCGAGGCGCCCUACCACGAGGACAACGGUGCCAGCGUGUGCUCCUCCUCACCGCCUGCGCUGCAGGUGUAUCGCCCCAACUCAAUGGCCGCGGCGGCGGCGGCUGUGUCGGGGCGUAACACCCGUCUUGGUCGGCCGUCCGCCGGUGCGAACGCACCAGGGCCGCGCGGCAGCACUGGCGGCAGCGAGUGGUCCGUCACCUCACGCAACAGCCACAACUCAGCCGUGGCGGGGAUCGUCCUACGGGACGACAUGCGACCACGCGUGAUGCCACCCGGGUGCGUCGACACAGAUCUGUUCCUCCCGCCCUCGGAAGAGGACUACUAUGAGCAGAAGAGUGGCAAGGCGGAGUUUGAUGUGCGGGUGCUGCGCCGCAAGCCGCUGCUGAUGGCGCAGCUCGAUGAGUACUUCCACAACGUCGUGCUCGUGCAGUGCGGGUACCGAACGGGGCCAGAUCCAAACUACCAGGCAAUGCGUCUGCGAGCCGUGCCUAUCGAGGAUGAGAGCGGUGGUGGUGGCAGCGGUGGGAGUCAAGGAGGCACCCAACAGCCAGCGGUCAUGAUCUUGCCAGGCGCCUGUGGCAAUGUCUACCGUCGCAGCACGUCCCUAGGACUGUCAUCGAUGCCGGUAGCAGCGGCGCUGGCAGGGAAUAGUUCCGAUGACGGCGGCACCGACGGCGCGAACAGCCGCGGCGGGUCUGUGGACGUGUGGGCCGCCGGUCCUCGCCACAAUCCGCGCACCCACGUUGAUGAUCACCGUGAGGUGGUUGCGGCUGCCUCCUCGGCUGGUGCUGUUGCAGGUCGUGGAGCCAACUUGUCCAGAACAAGCGCCGCAGCUGGUCGUUCGCUGAUCGGCACAUCCCCGCCCGGGGCCGCCGCGCCGUCGCGGCCGUCUGCUGCUGGUGGCACCAGCAGCCGGGCUCCAGAUGCCGGAAGUCAUCCUAUUCUCUACUGUGGCAGAGGUAGCACGGGAGGCAGCGGCAACGGCAGUGCCAGUCGUCGCGUGGCCGGCAGAGGUCGCGGGCGCGGCCAGCGUGACGCCAGCGAGUCCCCGUCGGAAGAGGAGGCCAAUGUCGCCAUGCGGGAGAGCUCUAAGUGCCUAUGCGGACUGGUGUAAUGGGGCCGGGUGGCCUUUCUAUGAGUGCCACCGCCACCGUGCCCGAGUGCGUGCGCGCCCCCUCCCCAGGCGAAAGCAUACGAAGAUGGCGGCGGCUGGCAUGGGAAGCUGCUUGAUGUGUGUGUCUGUGUGUGUGUGUGUGUGUGUGUGUGGUAUGCGAUAGGGAGGCGUAACGAUGUAUUUUGUCUGUGCAUGCGUGUAUGUAUGUGUGCGGUCAUGUUGCUUUCAUAUCUUCGUCCGCUAGUAUGCGUGUCGGUGGAGGAGCGCAGGGGCGUGCGCCUCCCGUCUCCCUCUGUCUGUCGCACGCACGCACACUCUGUGUGUGGGUGGGCGUGCAGCAUGUGGCCUUGAGCCGCCUCGUAUUUCGUGUUCGCUUAGUUGCGUCCACCGCUCUUGCGUGGUUUCGGUCUCCCUCCGACAGCCGUUCCCCCCCCCGUCCCUCAGCAAUACACACAGACACAGGCAGAGACGCGGUGCGCUCCUCGACGUGCUCGCGCGUGUCUCUGCGCUUGCCGUUACCUUUUUUGUUGUUGUUCUUGUCUCUGGUGGGCGCCCGCAUGCCCGCGACACGCCGAAGGGUAAAGAGUCGGUUGCGUGGGAGGGGGGAAAUGGCGGAAGCCAGCUCGUUCCCCGUUUCACGUUCGUGUGGUUGUCUUCGUGUGUGCACGCUGCGGUGACCUGGCACGGUCAACUGUGCAGCCACGGUAGCCGCAAUAACAGCCACGCGCUUGUCCUCUUCCCCACCACCACCUCGUCGCUGUCACGCGCGCGCUGUCCCGAAGCCGCCAUGUGCACGCAUCCCCCUCUGGCUCGACAGCGCACCCCAAAACUGCUCCCCCCCCCUGUGCCGUACAUCGAAGAGGAUACUUCUUACACACACACGCACACUCGAACACGACCACGCAACGGAUGCGAGAAACACGUAAAAGGAAUGUGAAGAAGUGCCGCAUGAAGGCGGCCGCAAGAGCG
rnacentral:misc_RNA from 1 species